rnacentral:rRNA from 1 species
GGUCAAGUUAUUAAGGGUGCAGGGCGGAUGCCUUGGCACUAGGAGCCGAUGAAGGACGUGAUAAGCUGCGAUAAGCUUCGGGGAGUUGCACGUAAACUUUGAUCCGAAGAUUUCCGAAUGAGGAAACUCACUUAGAGUAAUGUCUAAGUAUCAUUAAGUGAAUACAUAGCUUAAUGAGGGGAACUCAGGGAACUGAAACAUCUAAGUACCUGAAGGAAGAGAAAGAAAUUCGAUUCCGUAAGUAGCGGCGAGCGAACGCGGAUUAGCCCAAAC